rnacentral:lncRNA from 1 species
UGACUUUGGACUGCUUCAGUUUCUGCCAUCUUCCAUGACUGCUUCUAUUCCUGCCUUCCACGGCAGUGCCCACAGGAGAUAGGCAAGAAGAUUGGAGCAGCUUUCUCACAGGUCUGCAAUUGGGUUUUCUCCAAGUACAUCAUGACACCUUCGUCCUCCUGAACUGGAGAGGGGAAGAAAUGAAAGGCAUCCCAUAUGCACCAUUUCCUCAGUCCCUAACCCACCCUGGACAUCAUGAGCUGUUAUUUGUCUUGGAAGGAGGGGUUCUGGGCUUUGGGCUGGAUAGCAGAGGAGAGGGGUGAGCCCUUCGUUUGUUUCCCUUCUGCUUGUCCUUUUCCAGGACAUAAUGGAACUGUCGGAAGAAGAGUUUCUAGAAAGUUAGGAUUGGGCAGAUAGUUGAGUCCUAAUCUAUCAAAUCAUUGUUGCCUCUCAUACCAAAAUGUUCUUACCCAGUGUCCCUUCCCCUUCUCUGCUUUGCAGUACUCAUGGACUCUGGGCAUGGUACAUUGUUGUCUUUGCUCUCCACUCAGCAUGGUCCCCUCAGUUGCUCCUAGUAUCUAGCAAUGUUUCUUGCAAGAAAUUACUAGUUCUUCUGCUGACUUGGAGCUUUCUGUCAUUGACAGUACAGCCCUUGCCCAGAACCAGCUGAACAAUUCCUAAUCCAUUUCAUCUCGGUUCUGUAUGGGUUUUUCCCAUGCAUGGAAGGGAGGCAGCUCAGGGACCACCACUGUGGGACCUUUUGAGACACCUCUCUGAUUCAGAAACACACUUCUACCUCUUUACUGUUAACUCCUACAGAUGUAGCCAGCAACCUGGGCACUUGUGUUAGUGGUGCCUUUUGCUGGCUUCUCCACUAGGAUUUCAGGACAGACUACCUAGGAACUGCCUCAGUCUCCCACCAGUUCUUCCCUGCCCCUCUCUUCUGUCUAGAUUCACUUCAGUUUAUUGUUGGGAACUGUGCAGGUCCAAGACCUGGACUCCUGCUUCAGCCCAGGCCAGUACUCCUUGUUUGAGGUGAAAGCCUUCAGUUUAGCUCCCUGGCCCUUAUAUGGAAGCAAUGUGGAGUGAAUGAGCAUGUUUUGAUUUAAGCAAGGUAGCUUGGAAUACCUUUUUAAAAGACAACUGGAUAUAAAUAUGUCUGACAGGAUUGGAAUCAGACUAUGUGAUUUGCUUCUAAAGAUUAGUUUCAAUGAGUCCCAGGGACUAAUUAAGGUUUAUUUUUAAAAGCGUCUACCUUGGUACGCAACCAUCUCCUGCAUGCUAUGCAUGUUGUUGGGACUCGUAUUACAGGAAGUGGCAUGUGAGAAUCCAAGUGGGACUCACUGCUGCCAUUCUCCUUGUGUUUGGUCUUCACUAGACCCAGGCCCCUCUCUACCCUUCCUACCACCUCCCUAUAGCCUCAGUCUCAGAAGCCAGUAGCCUCAAGCCACAGGACAUAGUGUUCUGGGCUGUCUGAGGAGGACCCGUCCUCCUGAGCUUGACCUUCUCUUGGUGCUCAUAGGACAGCAGAGCAUCAACUGUAGAUCUGGUAAUGGGGCCUUGUUCCCACCUCUGGUCUUUCCUCCUUGUCUUUUCCUGUCUAUCCUUCCUGUUUCUCUACAUUUCUCAGUCUUCACUCUAAGGACUUUUCCUGUCACUGUGAACUUUGCUGGUUAUCUGCCUUCAAUUUUUGGACCACAAACCACCCUGCAGCUUCUUAAAUCUUUCUCCAACCUACCACCCAAAAGAGCCUUUUUGGCCAUUUUUUUUAAAAGAUAGGAAUAAUUUUAUCCUGUACUUGGUGCCCAGACUCAUUGAAGUACCCCUUAUGAGGCCAAGAGAGCCAGAGGGGCAUAUGCCCAGGACAGGAGCCAUGGCAUGUGGCAUAGACCAAUCAGGGACCAGAAAAGAGUGAUGUCCCUUUCCUUGCUAUGUCCUUAAGCCUGUCAGCAGUGAACUGACUGCAAGGGGACAGCACCUCUUCACCUGCACAGCAGCUUGUCAGAGUUGAGAACUGUCCUGGGGCCAGGGACUAACAUGCCCAGGGGUCGGCUCAGAGGAUCCUAGCACCAUCUUAAGCAGGUGGGAGGCAGGGCAGGGUGCACCAGCGUGUCUUUCCCCGACUUCACAUGGUGUUUUGUUAAUGCAAAUCCGGGAAGCAGGUGUGAUUGCUUUUUGCUCAUAGAUAUUGUCCUAAGUUGAAAUCCCCUAAACCUCCCUUAGUAGCCUUUAAGUUUCCCCUUCCCUUUUUGGUAGCUGUUUUCUCUACCCCUUCUCCAUGAUUAAAAAACAUAAAAACAAAAAUGCAAAAAAAACAAAAAAAAACAGGUUGUAUUAUACAGGAUCAAUAUUUUGCUUUUUAACAAGGAUAUUUAUGUAAUAAGAAACUUUGCCUUAGGCAGGUGUUGGCCAGAAAAGUCCAGAUUUCUCUGUGACCUCACCCUGGCCUCUCCUGGAGCUCUGAACCUGCUGUGGAAGGAAGUGGCUGCAACCACUGGAGAGUGGGGUCUGUGGUGUGGAAAGGGUGUUCACUGUGUGACCCUGGACUGUGUGGAGCUGUUCCUGUCACCUCGCUUCAGAUGUUACUUGGCGUCCUCCACCAGUUCUCCCAUGCGCACCUCUGCAUGUCUGGCACUAGAAUUCCUGAACACUACUUCACACCCUCCCUCACUCCCAGUUUGUUGAAGCUCUAGAGCCACUCCUGAAUGCCAGAUUAUUUAAAGAAAGAAAAAUACAAGACAAAAACCUUCUAGCACUUUGUAAACACAGUAAAUAACCUCUUGGAGUAUUUUUGGCUUUAUAUAAAACAAGGUUUUUAAUUGUAAAAUAUAAGUGCCAUUAGAAAAUGCACAGGGCGUAUCUUUGUUAAAGUAGAUUUUUCAAUGUUUUACAGAAUUAAUUUUCAAAAAAAAGUUUUUAUAAUGAAGUUGUUUAUUAAAAACUUCUGAAUGAUGUGCUUUGC